UCCCGACAGGCCCCUUUAGACGACUCUGAAGACAGAGACAGACACCUCAUGCAAACUCAUACUUGACAGACUCAUUCACAUCUGACUUACUCUUGACAGACUCUUUCACAACACACUUGUUCAUGUCAUCAAAACACACAUGUACACACUUCAGACAGACUAACCAUUGUCCAUAGAGAUUAUAUUUAUAUGACUAAUUCAUGCAAGUUCAUCAGACAUACAUUCUUCAUAGAAUCAUCACAUCAUGCAUUUUAAGCUCAUUUUCACAGAUGGUUCUAGCAUGCAUAAUACAUUUACAAGUGUCAGCUUAGAGACCCACCUUAUAAUCUCAAUGGUGGAUUAGCUUCAGAUCUAUCCCUUUCUUCUUGAAAUCAACCGUUUGAGCUCUAAAUCAUUCAAUUAGCCAGAUGUUACGACUUUCUCGCCUCAACAAAUAGUGACCUUUUUAGAACUCAUUCGGGUAACCCUUUUACCUCUACUUUAACUAAGACAUAUCACUAAGCCUUAUUUCUUCAAGUAUACUCACAGGUCUGCGUUUCUUUAGUAGACAGAGUUAUGAGACAUACGUUGUUGAGAGAGAGCUUAUUAGUAGAAAUUGGGGGUUUCAGACUCAUUUGAUGAGGGGC
rnacentral:lncRNA from 1 species